UACGUAGGUGGCGAGCGUUGUCCGGAUUUACUGGGCGUAAAGGGAGCGUAGGCGGACUUUUAAGUGAGAUGUGAAAUACCCGGCUCAACUUGGGUGCUGCAUUUCAAACUGGAAGUCUAGAGUGCAGGAGAGGAGAAUGGAAUUCCUAGUGUAGCGGUGAAAUGCGUAGAGAUUAGGAAGAACACCAGUGGCGAAGGCGAUUCUCUGGACUGUAACUGACGCUGAGGCUCGAAAAGCGUGGGGAGCAAACAGGAUUAGAUACCCCGGUA
rnacentral:rRNA from 1 species